rnacentral:rRNA from 1 species
GACGAACGCUGGCGGCGCGCUUAACACAUGCAAGUCGAGCGAGAACCAGGGCUUCGGCCCUGGGGACAGCGGCGAACGGGUGAGUAACACGUGGGUGAUCUGCCCUCGGCACCGGAAUAGCCCGGGGAAACCCGGAUUAAUGCCGGAUGGCCCCUUCACCUCGCGAGGUGUCGGGAAAAGGUAGCUUCGGCCUCUGGCCGAGGAUGAGCCCGCGGCGGAUUAGCUUGUUGGCGGGGUACCGGCCCACCAAGGCGACGAUCCGUAGCUGGUCUGAGAGGACGAUCAGCCACACUGGGACUGAGACACGGCCCAGACUCCUACGGGAGGCAGCAGUGGGGAAUCUUGCGCAAUGGGCGAAAGCCUGACGCAGCGACGCCGCGUGAGGGAAGAAGGCCUUCGGGUUGUAAACCUCUUUCAGGAGGGACGAAGCUACUCGGGUGAAUAGCCCAGAGGGUGACGGUACCUCCAGAAGAAGCCCCGGCUAACUACGUGCCAGCCGCCGCGGUAA